rnacentral:rRNA from 1 species
UACGGGGGGGGCAAGCGUUGUUCGGAAUUACUGGGCGUAAAGGGCGCGCAGGCGGUUUCGUCAGUCAUGGGUGAAAGCCCCGGGCUCAACCCGGGAAUGGCCUGUGAAACCACGGAACUGGAGUGCUGGAGAGGGAAGCGGAAUUCCCAGUGUAGCGGUGAAAUGCGUAGAUAUUGGGAGGAACAUCUGUGGCGAAGGCGGCUUCCUGGACAGACACUGACGCUGAGGCGCGAAAGCCAGGGGAGCGAACGGGAUUAGAUACCCCCGUA